UUUCUAAAAUGUUUCUUUUUUUUCUCUGAGAUUUGAUUACAUUUUAUUUACAAUUUACAAUAAUCUUUGUAUUGUUAAGUGUUCUCGUUGGAUUUUUAUCAAAUAAUUAUCUUUUCGAUGUUGGCAAACGUUUAGAUAAACAAUUUAUAUUUAACAUGAUUUAGAUUAAUGUCUACAUGAGUCUAAUCCUCAACAUGUUCACAAUUAGACACUUGUUACUUUUUAAUGUGAUAAUUGAAUCUCUCUAGUAGACUUACUUGGUUGAAGAAUCCUUGGAAUUAUUUGUAUCUUCAGUUGGUUUUCCUGUUGACGAUCAAGGGAGUGGAAGAGAAAGAACAAUUAAUGUUGUACUAAUUGACGAUCAGAAUUAAAUUCAAGAAAAAUGAACUCGGAAACACCGUAAUAAACAAUUACCACAAUACUGUCGAUGUGAUGGUCUAGGAACAUCAUCGAUUGAGAUGGUCAAAGGAAUCAACGAUUUUUCUUGAAUUUAAUGACUCUAAUUAGACUGGACACUAACCUUUGGUUAAAUUCACUCCAAGGACGCAAAAAAUUAGGCACAAAAUGAAAAGGUUCCUCAUGGUGUUUUUUUACCAACAAUUAAAAGAAUCGAGUGUUUAAUUUAGUGAAUUAAUUGUGCUGAAGAUGAUUGGACACGCAAAUCAAGAGCUUGCCCGGGGAACAAUCAACUAAUUAAUGUUGAUCACAGUGAAAUUCAACACAGAACUGAAAUUAUCUCAAGAAAUAUAAGUAGAGUUUGAACUCAAUUCCCUGUUAUUUCAAAACAAUUAACUUAACUGUUGUUAAUUUUGGCACAAACUUGAAUCACUUUAAUUGUUUCAUGAGGAUUAUCUAUCAGCGGGAUGAUGAUUGGCGGUGUUGCCGUGGUUGAUUAAUUUCAGUGAUAAUCAAAGUACUAGGAGUUGAUAUGGAAAAAGAGGAGGAUGAAGAUGAUGAUGACGAUGAUGAGGGAGACGUUUACAUAUGAGAGAUAAUCAAAAGGAGGAGAUGAUAAAAAUAACAAAGAAAAAAGUUAUUGGAAAAAUAUCAAAGACACUCAAAGAAAUUACAUUAAAACCCAAUGGGAAGAGUUGAAGUGGAAUUAAUGAAAAAGUUAACCCAAAGUUUAUAUAAUCACAAUCAAAAAGAAAAUUAGUCUGAUCAAAUUAACUAUUAAAUUCUUACAAUUUAAUAGA